UACGAAGGGGCUAGCGUUGCUCGGAAUCACUGGGCGUAAAGGGCGCGUAGGCGGCCAUUCAAGUCGGGGGUGAAAGCCUGUGGCUCAACCACAGAAUUGCCUUCGAUACUGUUUGGCUUGAGUAUGGUAGAGGUCAGUGGAACUGCGAGUGUAGAGGUGAAAUUCGUAGAUAUUCGCAAGAACACCAGUGGCGAAGGCGGCUGACUGGACCAUUACUGACGCUGAGGCGCGAAAGCGUGGGGAGCAACAGG
rnacentral:rRNA from 1 species